rnacentral:rRNA from 1 species
AGAGUUUGAUCAUGGCUCAGAUUGAACGCUGGCGGCAGGCCUAACACAUGCAAGUCGAGCGGUAGAGAGAAGCUUGCUUCUCUUGAGAGCGGCGGACGGGUGAGUAAUGCCUAGGAAUCUGCCUGGUAGUGGGGGAUAACGUUCGGAAACGGACGCUAAUACCGCAUACGUCCUACGGGAGAAAGCAGGGGACCUUCGGGCCUUGCGCUAUCAGAUGAGCCUAGGUCGGAUUAGCUAGUUGGUGAGGUAAUGGCUCACCAAGGCGACGAUCCGUAACUGGUCUGAGAGGAUGAUCAGUCACACUGGAACUGAGACACGGUCCAGACUCCUACGGGAGGCAGCAGUGGGGAAUAUUGGACAAUGGGCGAAAGCCUGAUCCAGCCAUGCCGCGUGUGUGAAGAAGGUCUUCGGAUUGUAAAGCACUUUAAGUUGGGAGGAAGGAUUGUAGAUUAAUACUCUGCAAUUUUGACGUUACCGACAGAAUAAGCACCGGCUAACCCUGUGCCAGCAGCCGCGGUAAUACAGAGGGUGCAAGCGUUAAUCGGAAUUACUGGGCGUAAAGCGCGCGUAGGUGGUUUGUUAAGUUGGAUGUGAAAUCCCCGGGCUCAACCUGGGAACUGCAUUCAAAACUGACUGACUAGAGUAUGGUAGAGGGUGGUGGAAUUUCCUGUGUAGCGGUGAAAUGCGUAGAUAUAGGAAGGAACACCAGUGGCGAAGGCGACCACCUGGACUAAUACUGACACUGAGGUGCGAAAGCGUGGGGAGCAAACAGGAUUAGAUACCCUGGUAGUCCACGCCGUAAACGAUGUCAACUAGCCGUUGGAAGCCUUGAGCUUUUAGUGGCGCAGCUAACGCAUUAAGUUGACCGCCUGGGGAGUACGGCCGCAAGGUUAAAACUCAAAUGAAUUGACGGGGGCCCGCACAAGCGGUGGAGCAUGUGGUUUAAUUCGAAGCAACGCGAAGAACCUUACCAGGCCUUGACAUCCAAUGAACUUUCUAGAGAUAGAUUGGUGCCUUCGGGAACAUUGAGACAGGUGCUGCAUGGCUGUCAUCAGCUCGUGUCGUGAGAUGUUGGGUUAAGUCCCGUAACGAGCGCAACCCUUGUCCUUAGUUACCAGCACGUAAUGGUGGGCACUCUAAGGAGACUGCCGGUGACAAACCGGAGGAAGGUGGGGAUGACGUCAAGUCAUCGUGGCCCUUACGGCCUGGGCUACACACGUGCUACAAUGGUCGGUACAGAGGGUUGCCAAGCCGCGAGGUGGAGCUAAUCCCAUAAAACCGAUCGUAGUCCGGAUCGCAGUCUGCAACUCGACUGCGUGAAGUCGGAAUCGCUAGUAAUCGCGAAUCAGAAUGUCGCGGUGAAUACGUUCCCGGGCCUUGUACACACCGCCCGUCACACCAUGGGAGUGGGUUGCACCAGAAGUAGCUAGUCUAACCUUCGGGAGGACGGUUACCACGGUGUGAUUCAUGACUGGGGUGAAGUCGUAACAAGGUAACCGU